rnacentral:rRNA from 1 species
UGCGUAGGUGGUGAGGUAAGUCGGAUGUGAAAGCUCGGAGCUCAACUCCGAAAUGGCAUUGGAAACUACCUUGCUCGAGGGUUGGAGGGGGGACUGGAAUACUUGGUGUAGCAGUGAAAUGCGUAGAUAUCAACUGGAACACCAGUGGCGAAGGCGAGUCCCUGGACAACUCCUGACACUGAGGCACGAAAGCUAGGGGAGCAAACA